UCCGGUUUGUCACCGGCAGUCUGGCGUGAGUCCCCAACUUAAUGCUGGCAACACGCCACAGGGGUUGCGCUCGUUGCGGGACUUAACCCAACAUCUCACGACACGAGCUGACGACAGGCAUGCACCACCUAUCACAGGCCCCGAAGGACACCACAUCUCUGUGGCUUUUCCUGCGUAGUUCAACCCAGGUAAGGUUCUUCGCGUCGCCUCGAAUUAAGCAACAUGCUCCGCCGCUUGUGCGGGCCCCCGUCAAUUCCUAUGAGUUUUAGCCUUGCGGCCGUAGUCCCCAGGCGGUGUACUCAUCGCGUAAGCUGGGGCGCCGAGGGGCGCAAUCACCCCCCAGCACCGGGUACACAUCGUUUACGGCGUGGACUAC
rnacentral:misc_RNA from 1 species